rnacentral:rRNA from 1 species
GACGUAGGGCGCGAGCGUUGUCCGGAUUUAUUGGGCGUAAAGAGCUCGUAGGCGGCUCGUUGCGUCAGCUGUGAAAACCCGCAGCUCAACUGUGGGCCUGCAGCUGAUACGGGCGGGCUAGAAUUCGGUAGGGGAGACUGGAAUUCCUGGUGUAGCGGUGAAAUGCGCAGAUAUCAGGAGGAACACCGGUGGGCGAAGGCGGGGUCUCUGGGGCCGAUAUUGACGCUGGAGGAGCGAAAAGCGUGGGGGAGCGAAACAGG